rnacentral:rRNA from 1 species
GAUGAACGCUAGCGGCAGGCCUAAUACAUGCAAGUCGAACGGUGUCUUCGGACAUAGUGGCGCACGGGUGCGUAACACGUAUGCAACCUACCUUACAUUGGGGGAUAGCCUUUCGAAAGGGAGAUUAAUACCGCAUAAGACAGUAGCUGGGCAUCCAGCAGCUGUUAAAGAUUUAUCGAUGUAAGAUGGGCAUGCGUCCAAUUAGCUAGUUGGUGAGGUAACGGCUCACCAAGGCAAUGAUUGGUAGGGGAACUGAGAGGUCAAUCCCCCACACUGGCACUGAGAUACGGGCCAGACUCCUACGGGAGGCAGCAGCAGGGAAUAUUGGGCAAUGGACGCAAGUCUGACCCAGCCAUGCCGCGUGCAGGAUGAAGGCGUUAUGCGUUGUAAACUGCUUUUAUACAGGAAGAAACGACUCUUGCGAGAGGCAUUGACGGUACUGUAUGAAUAAGCACCGGCUAACUCCGUGCCAGCAGCCGCGGUAAUAC